ensembl:misc_RNA
UUGGCAUCAUGGAGGACUGAAUCCUCAAUUUAUCCAAAUUGCAGAGAUGUUGCAGGCAUUGCAAUUUUCUAUAAGCUAUCUUGUCAACGUGUCUCAACCCUGACCUACUUAUGGCACCUCCAAAAAUGAAAACAUUUUUCAGUCUCCAUGUUCAUUCAGCCCUUGGUGCCU